rnacentral:rRNA from 1 species
CUAAUCUUAGUUGCCAUCGUUUAGUUGGGCACUUUAAGGUGACUGCCGGUGACAAACCGGAGGAAGGUGGGGAUGACGUCAAACCAUCAUGCCCAUUAUGACAUGGGAUACACACGUGCUACAAUGGACGGUACAAAGAGUCGCUAACUCGCGAGAGCACGCUAAUUUCAUAAAACCGUUUUCAGUUCGGAUUGUACGAUGCAACUUGCCUACAUGAAGCCGGAAUCGAUAGUAAUCGCGGAUCAGCAAGCCGCGGNGAAUACGUUCCCGGGCNUUUCAACACCGCCCGUCACACCACGAGAGUUUGUAACACCAAGAAGU